rnacentral:rRNA from 1 species
GUGAGGAAUAUUGGACAAUGGUCGGAAGACUGAUCCAGCCAUGCCGCGUGCAGGAAGACGGCCUUAUGGGUUGUAAACUGCUUUUGCAGGGGAAGAAUAAGGACUACGAGUAGUUUGAUGACGGUACUCUGCGAAUAAGCAUCGGCUAACUCCGUGCCAGCAGCCGCGGUAAUACGGAGGAUGCGAGCGUUAUCCGGAAUCAUUGGGUUUAAAGGGUCCGUAGGCGGGCUAAUAAGUCAGAGGUGAAAGCGCUCAGCUCAACUGAGCAACUGCCUUUGAAACUGUUAGUCUUGAAUGGUUGUGAAGUAGUUGGAAUGUGUAGUGUAGCGGUGAAAUGCUUAGAUAUUACACAGAACACCGAUAGCGAAGGCAUAUUACUAACAAUUAAUUGACGCUGAUGGACGAAAGCGUGGGGAGCGAACAGG